rnacentral:sRNA from 1 species
UGCAAUUGCAUCAUCGUCGUCGUCUUCUUGGUCUCGGAUUUAAGAAGAAUGGCGGGGGAGAAGAAGAUUAAGAGAAAGGAUUAGUGUUAAUCA